UACAGAGGGGGCAAGCGUUGUUCGGAAUUACUGGGCGUAAAGGGCGCGUAGGCGGCUCUGAUCGUCGGAUGUGAAAGGCCUGGGCUCAACCUGGGAAUGGCAUCCGAUACGGCGGGGCUGGAGUGUGGGAGAGGUUGGUGGAAUUCUUGGUGUAGCGGUGAAAUGCGUAGAUAUCAAGAGGAACACCUGAGGCGAAGGCGGGUUGCUAGGCUGACACUGACGCUGAGUGCGCGAAAGCUAGGGGAGCAAACAGG
rnacentral:rRNA from 1 species